AAGCGCGACGGAAACUCUUGCAAGUGUGCCGCAAGGCGGUGAGGUAUAAAGUUGCUGUUGAGCGCGAACAAGUGUAUAGAUAAUCACCGAGAGAUAGAGAAAGGCAAGGCAGAAGCAGCUGCCAUUUACUGUAAUUGCCAAGAUGAAUGUGAAAGUGGAGACAUGCGAGAUAUCUUGGACAUAAUUGCUGUGCAAAUUAAGGAGGAAGAAGAAGAAUGUGGAGAGAAGUCUGUCUGGUAUGAACCGGGCAAUCCUGGCAGUAUGGAUGACAAUCAUGAACUGGUAGCUGUGGGCAUUAAAGAAGAGGCAGAGGAGAUGCAUUGAGCUUAACAUGCUUCACGCUUAUAUGUUUGUGCAAGAUCUAACUCUAGGACUCAAGAGGAUCAAACAUCACCUACACAUCAGUCUAAAGAAAGUAUUUGCAAGAAGCUGUUUGGAUGACAUCCUGUUUGUUUCUGGAAAGUGCGUCUCUGAAGAGAACUCCUCUGAUCUCAUUCAUUACAGUAAUACGGCUUCUCUCCUGUCUGAACUCUGCCGUGGAUCUGAAGGGUGCUCAUUUAUGAAAAGUGUUUACCACAUAUAUAUAUAGAAGAUAUUCGGAAUUUCACUGAGUAAUCUUUGCAUUGAGGAACCUAUGAAAAGCAAUGAACUGAACGGCAAUGUGCAGGAGCCGCUGUUUGUGAAUACGGAUUCAGAGAGAGCACAGGAAGACAUUGAAAUGGGGGAGAAUGGUGAAGACACAAGAGACUCUUAUAUUUAAUUUUGAACAUCAGCAGAACAUGAACAAAUUCCUGUCUGAACUGCAUGAUGAAAAGAGACCGUGUCUUCAUGCCCAAGUCCUGAGCAGCGGCGAUGACAAUAAAUAUUCCGAAAAGGAGUCAGAGCAAAGGCGAGUUACCUGCACUCUAGGGGUCCAGUGACUGCGGCCCACUCACUCGGCCCGUCUUCCUGUGUUUCUUUUUUUUUUCUCUCUUUCUCCCUUGUUGUAAAUAUGCAUAUACUGUUUUAGUUGCUUUUUUCUGAUAUUUCAGAACACCUAAUUUUACUUGUAUUAAACUAUUGCAUGGAUAUUUAUGAAUGAACUUAUAUGAGAUGUCUUUUAUUUUGUUUGUUAAAAAUACCUAUGAGGAAGUGCCCACACCAUUUUCCGAUCAACCAUGUAUUUUGAUGCCCACUUAAAUUGCACAGCAGGAAGGAUUUUUGGAAUUAGUAGAUCCUUAAUAAACAUGUUGUUAAAGUGUCUUUUCGCUAUACUAAUCCCAUUUACCCUUAUAAGGUGUCCUGGCUGGGUCUGACCCCCACCCUCUUGUGACACUAGACAAGGACACCUUGACUGCCAUUAGGUAUCGGGAUGAAAUCCGUGGACCCUUUGUCAGACCCUAUACUUGUGC